rnacentral:snoRNA from 1 species
ACUCUUGAAAUGCCUUACUCCUUGGAUCUAAAUAUUGGUCUGAGUGGCUAAAAGAAAGGAAAGGAAAAUUAAAUGGACUUAGAAUCUUUAGUGAAUACAGGCUCAUUUCAAACAUUU